rnacentral:misc_RNA from 1 species
GAGCCACAAGCCAGGGAAGAGGCAGUGCAUGGGUGGUGCCAAAACAGAGAUUUCUGUUUGUAGCUCCAUUCAUGCUCUGCCUGUUCCCAGUCUUUGUAUGUCUUCUUCUUUAAUCUCUUCCCAGAAUCCCAAAUCCCAUUCACUUACCUUCCAUUGCCGAUAUGCCAUGCUAUUUCUGUCGCCAAAAAUCUACCAAAACCUCAGAUGCAUUCCUCCGCCUUCUCUCAGGGCAAACCAUAGAGUAAACAUUUGGAUCGCACCAAAGGCCUCAGCCUUCAGUGAUGGAUUUUGAGACUAUGCCGUCCAUGGGGAUUUUAUAUUUGACAAGGA